CCAAGCAAUUUAAGACCUUCAGAGAACAAAGAGAUUCAUAGAAAUUAGCAAAAUAUUCACCUUCCAAACAAAUAUGCAAACUGAAAAAUAUAACUUAUUGUUGUUAUACAAUAUGCAAAACCAUGAGGAAAGGCAGAAAGCUAUCAUGAAUAUGUACUCUAGUACACAUAAACACACCUUAUCAUUAGGAACAUCCGUCUUUCGAGAGGUAGUCUGACCAUCAGAUACAGUUUCUUCAGCAUCUUGUCCUAGUUGCUCAUCUUCCCGAAUUGAGAGCUCCUCGGCUUUACCAAGCUCGAUGCCCUC
rnacentral:lncRNA from 1 species